GGCUCCGUAGCUUAGCUGAAUAGAGCGUCGGAUUCCGGUUCCGAAGGUCGCGGGUUUGAAUCCCGCCGGGGUCA
rnacentral:tRNA from 1 species